UUCCUCUUAACCUAGACAAAAUACACAAACCCUAGAACCCCUAAGCCCUAAUAGAGCCGAUGUUACCCUUAGACCAAACAACCACCCAACUCCAUAACAUCUUAGAGAAGCCUCCUCCAGCCACUCUAUUCGUUGGAAAAAUCCACCUCCCAGCCAUCGCCGCACUACCUCAGCAAACUCUCACCAGCCCACCCCCUGAACCUUUCUGAUGCCGACAAGCCAACACCAACAGCUGUUACCUCGCCGAAACUAACUACCGGUAAGUGGAGGUUAUACUGACAAUAACACCUCUCUACCACCACUCUCCCUCACACCACUAACGAUAGACAAGCCACCUCCCAACCCCUCUGCCACCAGCGACCCCUCUUGGUUCUCUCAUCUCACCACCCGAAGACACACACACACACAAACAAAAGCACAAAACGAACCAAAGGGGAUGGCGAAUGGACUAGUCUAGUCAUUGCAAUAAUAAAAUACCAAAAAUUGAUUCAGUAUCAUUUCAUAAAAAAUCAAAAUAAAAAUAGAGUUGGAGUCAUUUUAUUGUCGGAAGUUCAUUGCUUGAGUUUGUUUGGGUUUGAAUUCGUGUUUGGUUGAAGUUCCAGUGAUUCAUCCGUGGUUCGUUGCAUUUUCGAGUUCAAAAUAGUGAAACAAUUAAUUUCCAUCUACAUUGAGGUCAAGUUCUUCAAUUCUCUAUUCAAAUUAUUUUCUUUUAAACUUAUGUGUUGUUUGUGGAAAUAUUUGUUUGAUCCAUGUUAGUCAUAUGCUGCUUGGUUAAUUCUGCUUAUACAAUAGUUCAGAUUUGCCUGAACGAUUUGUUGAAUGAAAUCUAACUAAAAGAAUCUUCAUCAAAUUAAGAUUUAGGUGCAGAUUAAGGCAAAUGGUUACGGUGGAUAAAUGACAUUGGCAAAUUUGGACUUAACCUGGUUUCAUUACAUUGCAUUCGUGUUUUAGUUACUAGGAGCAUGCUUAGGCCGCCAUCACAUAGGUUGGCAAACUUUAGGAUUUUUGUUAGUUUUGAGGCAGGAGAUCGUUCCUUUAGUUAAAUUCACACGGGGAAUGCCCCAAAGGAUUUGUAUAUAUUUUAUUCCGGGGAAUGCCCGGUAGUAUUCUGUAAUAAGAGGCCAAAAGUAGAACUUGUAGUGUUUUAUUCUUGGUUUUUUUUAUUUGGUGGAGACGAACUCAAGCCUCUUAUGUGUUCAUUUUCCCAUUUCUGUAUUUAUUACCUCAAUUCAAAUAUUUUAAAAGCCGACCCGAUCGAGUAUGCAACCGUAAUAGUUACCGGACUUGGGGGGUGCCUAGCACCUUCUCCCCGAGUCAAAUGAAUCCCCUUACUUGAAUCUCUAUUGUAGACUUAGUUUUGGAGUCCAAAGUGUUUUAAAAGGAAAAUUAUUUUUUAAAAACCUAGCACAUCGAAACCAAUGUCAGGUGGCGACUCUGAAAGUCCUUUUGAACACCACUUUGUCACUUUUUAAUUAAAAACCAUUUUGAACUUUAAAAUUCAUUUUAUUAUUUCUAAGAGGGUUAGUGAGGUUAAAAUUGGGGUAUGACAUCUUUGGCGACUCUGCUGGGGAGUUGCAGGUUCGAGCUGAUACUUGGACUUGUUGGCUUUUAGAAUAUUCAGUUGAGGUUUAUAUGUAAUUUAUUUGCUUUAUUUGAUUUUUAUUUUGUUUAUGUUGUUUUGUUUGCUAGUUGUUUAUUUGUUUAUAGUUUUUACUUUAUGUGUUACUGCUUUAUAACUAUCAUCAUUUGCAUAACCCUGAGUUAAUUCUUUCUACAACAAGUCUCGGAGUAUGCAUCACAUACACAAGCUCUUUAUUGAGUGACCUUUAUUUUAGGAGGGCAGACGUCGGGCGUAUGUAGUGGGCAGAAAGCUUGAGCAGCCACCAUCGACCAUACGCUCCCCCAAAUUACCUUGUUAGUGAACCCCAAGCUUAGGUUAGCCUUUAGGUCAUUCUUAUUUGUAUCAUGUCAUUUAGACCUAGUAGGACUCAGUCUUAGGUACCGUGUCCUUUUGUAGGAAGCUUAUCCAAAUUUUGUCAAAAUGGGACCGUGGCCCAAAAAUAAAUUCAAUCAUCCCUAUAUGAUACAUGCUAUAUCUUUUAGGGUAGAAAGUUUAUUUGGAAGACUGACGUUUGGGAAAGAGGGUGAAAUAGAAAAAUGAAGCAAGUAGGGCCCAAUUAUGAUAUUCUUUCAUAACUUUUUCAAGAAAAAAACAAGAAAAUGAAAAUAAAAAAUCCAAAAAAAAUUUGCACUUUCCCAUUAUUUUUCAAAAUUUUUUAAAAAAAAAGACAAAAAAGAAAAUCCAAAAGAUUUUACAUUUUCCAUCAUUUUUCAUGAAGACAAAAAAUAUAGUUUUUCCAAAUUAGUUGCAUUUUUUAAAAAAGCUUUCUAACAUGUCCAGUCCUCCCGAACUACUGCAUACCUGAUUCUCGUCUUUCAGGACACGAAACGUAGGCAGCCCACAUAAGGCAUGGUCUUCCUAGUAAGUCUUAGGUUCUUGUCUUCGCGGGGUCUUAGCCAAAUCUUGCAUAUCUUGCCACUUUUGGCCACAUCGGCUUGUUGCAAAAUAGGGCUAUUUGUGAAGUGACUUUUUGAACCGUGUUUGGAGAGUCUAGAAUCCACAAUUAGUUGUCUCCUUCUUUCAAGGUCCGUCCUUGUUGAAUUUACAUGUCUAGGGACUUUUAGCCAUAUCAGUCAUUCUUGCAUAACGAGUCAUUUUAGCAAAAGUAUUUCAAUGACCCAUGUCUUAGAAUCUUGAGCGCAUAACUAGGUGUCAUAUUAAUUUAAGGUCCGUCCUUUUCUAGUUUGCAUAUUUAGCCACUUCUAGCCAUAUCGAUCGUUUUUGCAAAAUGGGUCAUUCUACAAAUUAAUUUUGGGCCAUGAUUAUUGGGAGUUUGAAUCUAUAUAAGCCUUAGUGAGGUGUUUCCAUAUCUGAGCAAUCACCCUUAUUGAGUUUGCAUUUCUAGCCACUCUUGGCCAUGUAGGUUAAUUUUUAAAAUAGCUCGAUCUUGUCUUACAUAUGUCCAAUAAAAGGUGUUAUGGCGUCGCAUAUCAUCCCGAGUCACUAACUUUAUUUGGUCUUAUUUUUCUUAUUCAGGUAUGGAUCCAUUUACCACAACUCGAGCAUGACUGAUAUCCCAAGACAAUUCCAGUCAAGACCGUUGCAUACAUGAUUUGCUUGAAGAUAUUUUUGUGUUUUGGGUCUGUCAUUCAUGUUGUCUUUUACUUUCUAGUUUUGUACAUUAGUAUUCCGUCUUUUAAUUGCUGUUAGAGUUUGUUGUAGUAUAAUUGAGUUUGUCGAGUCUGGUUGUCGUACUUCCUAUUUUGUAUUUGUAAAUCGAAAAAAGUUAUAAAUGAAAAAUUCAAAAAGAUUUUAGUUA
rnacentral:lncRNA from 1 species